rnacentral:rRNA from 1 species
CUGGCGGUAGGCCUAACACAUGCAAGUCGAACGGCAGCACAGAGGAGCUUGCUCCUUGGGUGGCGAGUGGCGGACGGGUGAGGAAUACAUCGGAAUCUACUUUUUCGUGGGGGAUAACGUAGGGAAACUUACGCUAAUACCGCAUACGACCUACGGGUGAAAGCAGGGGANNUUCGGACCUUGCGCGAUUGAAUGAGCCGAUGUCGGAUUAGCUAGUUGGCGGGGUAAAGGCCCACCAAGGCGACGAUCCGUAGCUGGUCUGAGAGGAUGAUCAGCCACACUGGAACUGAGACACGGUCCAGACUCCUACGGGAGGCAGCAGUGGGGAAUAUUGGACAAUGGGCGCAAGCCUGAUCCAGCCAUACCGCGUGGGUGAAGAAGGCCUUCGGGUUGUAAAGCCCUUUUGUUGGGAAAGAAAUCCAGCCGGCUAAUACCUGGUUGGGAUGACGGUACCCAAAGAAUAAGCACCGGCUAACUUCGUGCCAG